UCCCUGGUGGUCCAGUGGUUAAGACUCUGAGCUUCCACUGCAGGGAGUAAAGGUUCUAUUCCUGGUCAGGGAA
rnacentral:tRNA from 1 species